rnacentral:tRNA from 1 species
GGGGGUGUAGCUCAGUGGUAGAGUGCAUAUGUUGCGUAUACGGGGUCACAAGUUCCAUCCCCAUCACCUCCA